UGGGAAUCGUGCACUUUGACUGUGCUUCAUGAAACAUGUUUGCUGUAACAUCUCCGUGGCUCUGCUGGACUUUACUGUCUGUCUCCCUCGUGGGCUUUACCUGUGCAGGAUCAUUUGUAGUGAAUAUGACUCAGACCUCCUAUCAGGCAGAGGAGAACCACAACAUCACACUGGAGUGGACGUUCACAGUAGAAACAGGCAGAUCCCCCACAUAUCUAAUAAUUUACUGUGACCUGAUAACUGGUGAUAAAUCUUCACUCCUGUAUCAUGUCCACAAUGGUGCUGAAGUCUCAGAGUCUCAGGAUAAAAAGUUUUCAGGGCGAGUUCAGGGUGACAAAGACGCCCUCAGAGAAGGACGAAUCAGACUCCAGCUGUGCAAACUCAGGACUGAGGACUCGGGUCAAUACAAGUGUAAAGUAAACACAGAUUAUGGUCUCAGCUCUGCGAGCUGCAGACUCAACGUCACUGCAGCUACAUCACAAGAAGAGAGAGACUGGAAGAUUAUUACAAUUGUCCUGACAGCAGCAGCAGCAUUAGUAGCUCUGCUGAUGUGCGCUUUACUUUGGACUGUGUUUAGAAAAAAGUGCUGAACUUCUGUACAGCUGUAAACAUCCAGAGUCACUAAACCAAGGUACUUCCUGCCUUUGACGUCUCCUUCAAGUAUAACAAGUUACAUGUUGAUAUGAGCUGUGUAAAUGAACUGAUUCUUAUAUGUUGCUUUUGUAAUUGACCUGAGCAUUUCAAAUGUUUUAUAUAAACUUCCGCAUUCACACACAUUCAUACAAGAACCUUUUGUUUGUAUGUCUGUUCUAUACAAGUCCUUUUUGUAUAACACG
ensembl:lncRNA